rnacentral:rRNA from 1 species
UACGGAGAGGGUGCAAGCGUUUGUUCGGGAAUUAUUGGGACGUAAAGGGCUCGUAGGCGGUUUGUCGCGAUCCGGGAGUGAAAACACCUGGGCGUUAACUCGGUGUCUUGCUUUCGAUACGGGCAGACUAGAGGCAUGGCAGGGGGGAACGGAAUUCCUGGUGUAGCGGUGAAAUGCGCAGAUAUCAGGAGGAACACCGGUGGCGAAGGCGGUCUCUGGGCAUGUCCUGACGCUGAGGAGCGAAAGUGUGGGGAGCGAACAGG